rnacentral:rRNA from 1 species
CAGCCCCUCGAGUGGUGGGGAGGAUUAUUUGGCCUAAAGCGUCCGUAGCCGGCCGAGCAAGUCGUCCGUUAAAUCCAGCGUCUCAAGCGUUGGACCGCGGGAGAUACUACACGGCUAGAGAGUGGGAGAGGUCAGCGGUAUUCUGGGGGUAGGGGCGAAAUCCUUUGAUCCCCGGAGGACCACCAGUGGCGAAGGCUGCUGACUAGAACACGUCUGACGGUCAGGGACGAAAGCUGGGGUAGCGAACCGGAUUAGAUACCCGAGUAGUCC